AUGAACGCUGGCGGCGUGCCUAACACAUGCAAGUCGGAUGUGCCGCAAGGUGCAUGGCAGACGGGUGAGUAACGCGUGGGAAACCUACCUCUUUGUGGGGAAUAACGCUCCGAAAGGAGUGGUAAUACCGCAUGAGACCAUGGACUGGGACGUUCAUGGUGAAACCUGGGGACCGAAAGGCCUGGGGCAAGGAGAGGGUCCUGCGUCUGAUUAGCUAGUUGGUGGGGUAACGGCCUACCAAGGCGACGAUCAGUAGCCGGCCUGAGAGGGUGAUCGGCCACACUGGAACUGAGACACGGUCCAGACUCCUACGGGAGGCAGCAGUGGGGAAUUUUGCGCAAUGGGCGAAAGCCUGACGCAGCAACGCCGCGUGGGUGAUGAAGGUCUUCGGAUCGUAAAACCCUGUCGUCAAGGACGAAGGUCGGUCGUUGAAUAGGCGAUCGGCUUGACGGUACCUGGAGAGGAAGCCCCGGCUAACUCUGUGCCAGCCGCCGCGGUAAUACAAGGGCGAAUUCCACAGUG
rnacentral:rRNA from 1 species